rnacentral:rRNA from 1 species
GAUGAACGCUGGCGGCGUGCCUAAUACAUGCAAGUCGAGCGAACAGACGAGGAGCUUGCUCCUCUGACGUUAGCGGCGGACGGGUGAGUAACACGUGGAUAACCUACCUAUAAGACUGGGAUAAAUUCGGGAAACCGGAGCUAAUACCGGAUAAUAUAUUGAACCGCAUGGUUCAAUAGUGAAAGACGGUUUUGCUGUCACUUAUAGAUGGAUCCGCGCCGCAUUAGCUAGUUGGUAAGGUAACGGCUUACCAAGGCAACGAUGCGUAGCCGACCUGAGAGGGUGACCGGCCACACUGGAACUGAGACACGGUCCAGACUCCUACGGGAGGCAGCAGUAGGGAAUCUUCCGCAAUGGGCGAAAGCCUGACGGAGCAACGCCGCGUGAGUGAUGAAGGUCUUCGGAUCGUAAAACUCUGUUAUUAGGGAAGAACAAAUGUGUAAGUAACUAUGCACGUCUUGACGGUACCUAAUCAGAAAGCCACGGCUAACUACGUG